rnacentral:lncRNA from 1 species
UCUGCUAUUUCUUCUUUGCCUUUAAAAACGUGACUCUGAGUAACACAGAUUCAGGUCUGCAAAGCAUAGAAUGUGUUCGUUUAUGGCAGAAUUUGGCCCAGAACAUGCGAUUUUUUAAUCUCUUCCACACUGACUGUUUAUCUUCCUCUUCAAUAAAAUGUGAAACUUCUUUUUGAGACUGGGCAGCAUCCUCAUUGACCUGGGCUCCAGACUGGCCCUGCUUCCAAGUCGUUGCAAGUCUUUUCAGUUUGUGAUGAAAAGUUUGUAGCUCAGUUGGGAGAGCUGAAAACAAACCAUGAAACCUCGCUGAAAAAAUUCUCUUCUGAAUAGCUUUUCAAUUGUUCUAGGUCUCCUGCAGUGAUCGAGGCACCAAAGCACUGCACAAUUUACACUCCCACUUUUGACAAACUGCUGCUUACAAAAAGAAGCCUUAAAAACUUACUGCUUCUUCAACUACCGAGGCUGGGCUUGUUGCACUCACUUGAGUUACGGAUCACUGAGUACACUUUGUACCUUUACAUGCCAGUUUGAGAAAAAUCAAUUUUAGUCUUGAAGAGAUGAAACCAGUGUUGCAGAAGAUCAGUGCACAUUUCCAGGUGCUGCAGGGCACUACCAUCUUGAUGGAGAUUCAACAAAACAUGACAUAGGUAUGGUGCAAAAUUGCUUACAUUUAUGCUAAGAGAUCUUCUUCGGGAAAAAAAAAAAGAGAGAGAGAGAGAAAAAGAGCAGAGUAAAUCAUAAUAAUAUAAAGGAGAGAAAGUCACACUACAGUAAAUGUUUCUACAGUAGUCACAACUCUAACAUCAAAAAUAUGAUUUGUUACUACUUUUAAGUAACUCAAUGUCAAUAUAUGUGUAAUAUGUACAUUAAAAAUAGCAUAUUCUGAUGAUGAAGAACGAAAUGACUUGUGCAUAAGGAUAUUUAAAAGACUUCUGUUCAAGUAGAGCUCAAUUGUCACAAAAAAGAAUGUUUGUCACGUAACUUAAAAUGUCAAGCCAGCCAUGUUACUUCAUUUAAAUUUUGAAUCUAUGCGCCAGUGGUAUAGAUGUGUGAAACUGAG